rnacentral:lncRNA from 1 species
AGAUGCUGUCUUUUGCAGUCCUCCGAGAGCCUUCUCCGCUGGUGGUAUACUUACGAGGACCAGAGGUGAGGUGUCAGCAAGGAGGCCCACAGGUGGAAAGUGCUUUGGGCCAAUGGUACACACCUGCUUUAUUGGAUAGACGCAGAGAAGUAUGCCUGGUCACAGCCAGAGCUUACUCGGUCAAGAAAUUAUGAGCUCCCCAGAAGUCUCUUGUAUGCUGUCUCCUAGUUGUGAGCACCUUUUACCAAAGAUGGUCUGAGAGUACCUGUGCUGAAAUGGAAUUGUCUUUGAGUGGACACUUCUUAGAUGAGACCUAUUGUGGCCAAUAGCUCCUGAGGAACUGAAGCCUUCAGUUCAAAACUUGUGUGAGAAAAAUGAAUCUUGCCAACUACUGGAGUGAGCUUAGAAAUGAAUCCAUCCCCAGUUGACCCUUGAAUGUAGCCUUGUCAGAGACCCAGAGACAAAGCAUCCUGCUAAUCUGCACUGGGUUCUAGGCCCACAGAAACCAUGGGAUAAUAACUUUGUGUUGCUAUAAGCCACUGAAAACAAACAAAUAAAAUACUUAAGAUGUUCCCCUGUGGAAGGGUUCCAUUGCCAGGGAUCUGCACUUCACAACCAAAGGGAUUAAAGAGAAUUGCCUUCUUCAGAUUUCAGACUGUGGCCUGCUUCUGGUUUUUCUUUCUAUAUUCAUAUAUAUGUUUGUUUAAAUCAUCCUACUUUUGGAGCAGGAAAAGUUACUAUUACAGUUUAUACAAAGGGAAGAAAUCUGGUACAUGCUAAAGUUAUUCAUCUGUAACUACCUGACGAGCCCAAUUAGUUGCUUGCUCCUAUGGAUUCUGAGCCUAAAAUCCCUUCAACAGAUCUUUGACCUUUUCUAAGUUAAGUUUUUGGAAGUAUCCUAUUUGUUCACUUACUUGGGCCAGAGACUAUAGAGAUUAAGAGAAAGUUUGAUAUUUGACCCUAAUUUUAGGCUAAAACAAUUUAGAUGGAAAGAACAGACACAAUUCAAUUUAACCAUCUUCAACUGCUGUGCUUUAGAAAGCUGGGAGUGUGGAGAAUGGAGUAGGUGUACAGAAAAAUAAGAACAGUUCUGUUCUUCAGGGCUUGAUAAAGGCUGCUGUGAGUUGGAUGGACAAUAAUUACUACUGACUAGGUCUAGCUGGGAUAGUUAGGGGAGACUUUCUGAAAGAGGCAACACAUGAGCUGGGUUCUAAAUCUCAAAUAGGAUUUGAUGGCUGAAGAUGAGGGUAAUAAAACAAGAGAAACAAGUACAUUCCAGAUAGAAAGAAUAGUAUAAGCCAAGAAAAACCUAUUCCAGGGCAGCAGGGAAGAGUCUGAAGUGGCAAAACAAAGUAGGAGGCAAAGCUGUCAAUAUAAGUAACUUGGUAGAGAAACAUUAGGAGUUUGGAUUUUAUCCCAUUGACUAGGAGGAUUUAAAAACAGAAAAUGCUCACAGGGGCCAGGCAAGUUAUGAGUAAAUAAAAGGUCCAGGUGUAAGUGCAACAGGGCCCAUGGACAUAGGAAUGGGGGAUGUGAAAAACCAACCUUUGCUAACAGUGAGUUCUACUAUGCAGUUUUAGCUGAUUAUAGCCAGACUCGAAAGCAACCUUUGUAGGGUUGACAGUUCUUGUGAUUGUUCAAGAAAAAAAUUUAUGUAAAAUCUACUGACUUGAAAAUACUAGAUUAAUUUAUUUAAUGUUAUAGAGCUCAAAUAAAACACAUUUGUCUUAUUUAUA